AAUAGCUGGUUUUCUGCGAAUCUGUUUUAGCAAAUUAUUUAUUUUAUUAUUAGUAGGUAUAGCACUGAAUAUUUUUUUUUUCAAAAAAGGGAGUAUUAAUUUACUUACCUAAAAAAUUUAACCCCAAAAGGGCUAAAAAUUUAGGUAAAUAACCGAACUUUUUGCGAUAAGGUAUAAAGCCUAAGGGGAAACACCCCAAAACAGUAAAAAAAAAAGAAGGGCCCCCCAUUUAAAUUAAGGGGAAAAUUCCCAAA
rnacentral:rRNA from 2 species